GAUGAACGCUGGCGGCGUGCCUAAUACAUGCAAGUCGAGCGAACAGACGAGGAGCUUGCUCCUCUGACGUUAGCGGCGGACGGGUGAGUAACACGUGGAUAACCUACCUAUAAGACUGGGAUAACUUCGGGAAACCGGAGCUAAUACCGGAUAAUAUAUUGAACCGCAUGGUUCAAUAGUGAAAGACGGUUUUGCUGUCACUUAUAGAUGGAUCCGCGCCGCAUUAGCUAGUUGGUAAGGUAACGGCUUACCAAGGCAACGAUGCGUAGCCGACCUGAGAGGGUGAUCGGCCACACUGGAACUGAGACACGGUCCAGACUCCUACGGGAGGCAGCAGUAGGGAAUCUUCCGCAAUGGGCGAAAGCCUGACGGAGCAACGUCGCGUGAGUGAUGAAGGUCUUCGGAUCUUAAAACUCUGUUAUUAGGGAAGAACAAAUGUGUAAGUAACUAUGCACGUCUUGACGGUACCUAAUCAGAAAGCCACGGCUAACUACGUG
rnacentral:rRNA from 1 species